AGUGAACGCUGGCGGUAGGCCUAACACAUGCAAGUCGAACGGCAGCACAGUAAGAGCUUGCUCUUACGGGUGGCGAGUGGCGGACGGGUGAGGAAUACAUCGGAAUCUACUUUUUCGUGGGUGAUAACGUAGGGAAACUUACGCUAAUACCGCAUACGACCUACGGGUGAAAGCAGGGGAUCUUCGGACCUUGCGCGAUUGAAUGAGCCGAUGUCGGAUUAGCUAGUUGGCGGGGUAAUGGCCCACCAAGGCGACGAUCCGUAGCUGGUCUGAGAGGAUGAGCAGCGAAACUGGAACGGAGACACGGACCAGAAUCCUACGGGAGGAAGCAGUGGGGAAUAUUGGACAAUGGGCGAAAGCCUGAUCCAGCAAUACCGCGUGGGUGAAGAAGGCCUUCGGGUUGUAAAGCCCUUUUGUUGGGAAAGAAAAGCAGCAGGUUAAUACCCCGCUGUUCUGACGGUACCAAAAGAAUAAGCACCGGCUAACUUCGUG
rnacentral:rRNA from 1 species